CUGUAGCGUAAACUAUGUGAGUCACAUUUUAAUGGAUGGAGGACGGACGGACGGACGGACGGACGGACGGAGGGAGGGAGGGAGGGAGUGCGUGCACUUUUGUACAGGCUUCCCAUUCAUUUGAUUUGUUUUAUUUAGCUUUAGGAUAGCCCCCCAUUCUUGUUAAUUUUUGUAGGUUCACCUGCUGCUGUUUUGCCAUACUUUCAUCUUGCUUAUCUUUUGCUCAUGAUUACAAUACUUUGUUUUUAUUGAACCAACUGGGGGUUAAAUGUUUGCUUUGAUACUGUUUUAAUUACAUUUUCUCUAGACUGGAGCUGGGCGCCAAACUGUAGGGAGGCUAGACACCCAUGUGGGAGAUUGCAAGGCCAGGUGGAAGGGACUGAGGGAUUCAUUUGUCAAGUCCCGGAAAAAAAUGCAUCUUCCAAGUGGGUCUGGGGCAACAAGCCACCGGGACUGGAAAUAUGCAACGCUCAUGCCCGUUAUGCCGAGCAGAAGCACCAUAGGCAAUUUGGAGGCCUCUGAGCCAGGGCAGAACACCCAGGAAGAGGAGGCACAGGAGCAGCAGGAGGAUGCAGCUCGACCUCCCCGGACUGAGAGGAUGGCAGCCCAACGAGGCACUGCAUCCAGCAGCAGACACAGGAGCAGAAGCCCCAACACUGUGGUCAACGACAGGCUCCUGGACUUCAUCACAGUGCCACCACCAACAGUUCGAACAACUGCCUGAUCUGCACGGAGCUCCUGGACCAGAUUGUGGUAUACCCCCUGAUCUUCCCUCCGUUCCUUGAUGGGGUGCACCCAAACCCUUCGUCUUCUCCUUGCCAGCCUACGGCGCAGCAGAAGAAGGGCAGCCACCCUCUGUCUGGCAACAAUUCUUUGUUCUGUUGAAAUAAAAAAAAAAUCAAUAAAAUGUAAAAGCGCUUGUGUUCAAUAAAAAUGGAUAACGACUGGCUGCAUACAUGUAAAUAUGUGGCUAUGUUAAGGCUAUAU
ensembl:lncRNA